GGCGGCGGCCUAACACAUGCAAGUCGAGCGGAUGAAGGGAGCUUGCUCCUGGAUUUAGCGGCGGACGGGUGAGUAAAGCCUAGGAAUCUGCCUGGUAGUGGGGGACAACGACUCGAAAGGGUCGCUAAUACCGCAUACGUCCUACGGGAGAAAGUGGGGGAUCUUCGGACCUCACGCUAUCAGAUGAGCCUAGGUCGGAUUAGCUAGUAGGUGAGGUAAUGGCUCACCUAGGCGACGAUCCGUAACUGGUCUGAGAGGAUGAUCAGUCACACUGGAACUGAGACACGGUCCAGACUCCUACGGGAGGCAGCAGUGGGGAAUAUUGGACAAUGGGCGAAAGCCUGAUCCAGCCAUGCCGCGUGUGUGAAGAAGGUCUUCGGAUUGUAAAGCACUUUAAGUUGGGAGGAAGGGUUGUAGUUUAAUACGCUGCAACUUUGACGUUACCAACAGAAUAAGCACCGGCUAACUCUGUGCCAGCAGCCGCGGUAAUACAGAGGGUGCAAGCGUUAAUCGGAAUUACUGGGCGUAAAGCGCGCGUAGGCGGCUUGAUAAGAUGGGUGUGAAAUCCCCGGGCUUAACCUGGGAACUGCAUCCAUAACUGUCUGGCUAGAGUACAGUAGAGGGUGGUGGAAUUUCCUGUGUAGCGGUGAAAUGCGUAGAUAUAGGAAGGAACACCAGUGGCGAAGGCGACCACCUGGACUGAUACU
rnacentral:rRNA from 1 species